rnacentral:lncRNA from 1 species
AAGCUGCGAAGAUGGCGGAGUAAGGCGUGCCGCUGCAAACUGGCCUCUGGGCCGGGGGCGAGCAGCCCCCGGGAGGCCGAGUGCAUCUGUUGGACCGUGCGAGGAGAAGAAAAAAAAUAUCGGCCAGAGGAGAGGAACUAACCGAACAUUCUUCCUCCCUACCUUAUAGAGGGGAGUGGUCAUCUACACUAAAGCAAAGUGUUAGGCGCGUCCGUGCGAAGAGACCACCAAACAGGCUUUGUGUGAGUAAUAAAGCUAUUUAUUUCACCUGGGUGCAGGCGGGCUGAGUCCAAAAAGGAGUCAGCAAAGGGAGUUAGGGGUGGGCAGUUUUAUAGGAUUUGGGUAGGUAGUGGAAAAUUACAGUCAAAGGGGGUUGUGUUCUUGCGGGCAGGGGUGGGGGUCACAAGGUGCUCAGUGGGGGUGCUUCUGAGCCAGGAGAUGGAAUUUCACAAGGUAAUGUCAUCAGUCAAGGCAGGAACUGGCCAUUUUCACUUCUUUUGUGAUUCUUCUGUUGCUUCAGACCAUCUGGAUAUAUACGUGCAGGCUUGGGCUCAGAGGCCUGACACAA